GGUCAGAGAGGCAAUUCCUGGUACUUCAGAGUAUUUAUUGAUCAAAAGAGUUCAUGAGGGUUCUGGACAGAUGCUCCGUAGGCCCACUGGACCACUGCUGAGUAUAUGUUCUUGGGCAAGUAGAACUUGAGAUUGUUGAAGUACAGCCUGUCUUUAAGAGUUGCACCUUUCUGUUUCCAGCGUGUGGUUUGUUUGUUUUUUCUUUCUUUCCAGGGUCAGUAGCUUGCUUGUUAUUCCUUCGGGAGCUUGAUGUCUGUGGGUAGGAUCUUACAUGGUGAAUAUGGGAGUUUCUUCAGCAGACACUUUUCUGUCCACUUCCCUUAGUGCACUUACAACUUAUUGAACAACUUAGUCAGCCAGAGAGUUGCCACAUGCUUUCUCUGAGAUCAGUCUUCCUUCAGAGAUCUUGCAUGCUGUGAUAGGAGCCUAUAGCUCAACUUCUUGUGCAGACAUUGUUGAG